UACGUAGGGGGCAAGCGUUGUCCGGAUUUAUUGGCGUAAAGAGCGUGUAGGCGGCCAGGUAGGUCCGUUGUGAAAACUCGAGGCUCAACCUCGAGACGUCGGCGGAAACCCUCUGGCUAGAGUCCGGAAGAGGAGAGUGGAAGUUCCUGGUGUAGCGGUGAAAUGCGCAGAGUAUCAGGAAGAACGACCCGUGGCGAAGGCGGCUCUCUGGGACGGUACUGACGCUGAGACGCGAAAGCGUGGGGAGCAAACAGG
rnacentral:rRNA from 1 species